GUCGAAGGUGGGGCUGAUGACUGGGGUGAAGUCGUAACAAGGUAUCCGUACCGGAAGGUGCGGAUGGAUCACCUCCUAACAGGGAGACAAAACAAUGAUUUUGAUGUCUGAGUAUUUUAUUCUUAGGCCGAAAUCCUGUCACCUUAGGUCGAUCGGUACCUCAACAUUAUUUCAAAGAUUGAUGAGCAAUCAUCGAGAGAUUGAAAGAGAUGUUCAGUUCCUAAACUUUGUCUAGGUCACACCCCGCAAGGGAAGAGUCCCCUGGGCCAUUAGCUCAGGUGGUUAGAGCGCACCCCUGAUAAGGGUGAGGUCCCUGGUUCAAGUCCAGGAUGGCCCAUUCGGUGUUGGGGGUUUAGCUCAGUUGGUAGAGCGCCUGCUUUGCAAGCAGGAUGUCAGGAGUUCGAGUCUCCUAACCUCCACUGACCGAACUCAAUCUCCAUUGUCCGGUAACUCGGAGGAUGAACUCGAGGGAGUGUGAUUUAGAUGUGUCCACUAGAUUGGACCCCAGCUUCCUGUCAUUCCAAAUCAGUAAGAAUUACAUGAUUGGUUGAUAAGAUGCUGGGCUCAGAUUAAUCGCAAGAUUAAUUUGAUGUCUAGUAGAACCUUGACAACUGCAUAGGUAAGUCUGGAAAAACAAAGCAUCUUACAGAUGCAUUGUUUUCAGUUUAAGCUCCCGAAAGGGAAUUUAAACUUAGAACAAUGAAAAUUCUUUUGAGCAAGAGCCGAGACUCUUAGAUGUUCUUUGAUUCGUGUCGAGCGAAUCAGAGUUUGAUUUUGUUUUUAUGAGCAACGAAAGUUGUUGAUGAAACCAGAAGAAUCUGCUUUCAACCGCAGUAAGCGUUUAAGAGGUUAAUUGGUCAAGCUACAAAGGGCUCACGGCG
rnacentral:misc_RNA from 1 species